UACGUAGGGUGCGAGCGUUAAUCGGAAUUACUGGGCGUAAAGCGUGCGCAGGCGGUUUUGUAAGCCAGAUGUGAAAGCCCCGAGCUCAACCUGGGAAUGGCAUUUGGGACUGCAAGGCUUGAGUGCGGCAGAGGAGACUGGAAUUCCUGGUGUAGCAGUGAAAUGCGUAGAUAUCAGGAGGAAUACCGAUGGCGAAGGCAGGUCUCUGGGCUGACACUGACGCUCAUGCACGAAAGCGUGGGGAGCAAACAGG
rnacentral:rRNA from 1 species